GCGGGGCGCUGGGCAGCGGCAGCCGCAGCGCGCCGGGGAGGGGGCGCCGGAGGGGCCUGCACCCGCAUGACUCGGCGACCGGGGCCGAGCCGGGAGCCCCGAGCCCUGGGAGGCGGGACACCCCGCGCCGAGGACCUCUGCUCGCCCACGCCGGCGGCGGCCCGGGGCACCAGCGCGGUGUUUUCGAUCCAGAAUCCUGCCUGGCCAGGGGGCAGCUCCGAGGAGCCCAACACAAAGACUGGGAGUUGUUUAAAAAAAAAAAACCGAAAAGCGGCCACUUCCCCGGAUUGGGAGGGAAGGGUCGGUGCACAAAUCCACAGGGCCUCAAACCUAUUUGCGCCACGCACUUCGUUCUCCGUGACUCUCUAGACCUGUCUAGAUUUCCACAUCCUCAAGCAAGACUUGAGCAGACUUGUAAGUCACAAUUCCAAAUGUGCCUGAUGGAAAUGCAAGGGGCCGUGUGGCACAGAGCGAGAAAUUCAGCACUGUUGCUCUCCUCGACGUCACCCAAGUACUCUCAACCAGGUUUGUUUGGGAUUUAUUCCCACCAGUUCGCCAUCUUCUACGUAGCACCUGUUUAGGUUUAUGGACGACACACGCUCCAAAUACAGGGGAAAACGAUUCGAAAUGCUCGAAACUUGAAGUUUAAUCUUAGACUAAAUGUAAAUUAAAUCAGUGAGGCACUGUUUUUCAUCUUUCAGGCUGAUAAAGAUGUAUUGAGUUAGCCUUAUUGGAGAAAUGGGCCCCCCUGUAUAUUGUUGGUAGAAAUAGCAACGGGAAAUUUUGGAAGGAAAUUUAAUAAUCUCGAUCAUAAUUUUAUUUGCCUAUACUGUUUUCCCUGUAAUUCCUUGUCUAGACAUUUAUGCUACAGAUAAAUUCAGCCACAUAAGAACGUUUGUUGGUGCGCUGUUUAUAGUGACAAUAGGCUGAGAAUGAUGUAGACAACCACCUGUAGAGAGUGAUUAAAAUAAAGUACUCUUGAAAAGAAUGAAUAGCUCUACAUAUGCUAAUAUGGAACAGUCUCAAGUCAUAUUACUGGAUGAAAAUAACAAAGUGUGAAUCAGUGUAUAAAACUGAGGAAAGUGUGCAAGAUUGAUAAUACAUAGGAAGCACUCUAGCACAUCCUAUAUAUCACGGGCCUUCCUUCUGGUUGAUUGUACCUGUGGUAAAUAUUUUUAAUGUUGCUCCUCAAGAUAGACAUGUCCACGUGCUUGCAAGGUUUUUGCCUUUAGAUGUCUCCAGAAGAAUACAAAAGAAACUAUUCACUGUUGGGGAUCUGUGGACAGGAGGUCACAGGAGGAUUUACUACUACUUUUUGCCUUUUUAUACUGUUCAAAUUUUUAUUAUGUGCAAGAAUUAUGUUAAAAAUUAAUGGUUUUUUUCAGAUCAUUAUUUGUUCAGUGUUGGUUUUGGGGACCUUUCUGAAACAAAUCACAUCCUCUCGUGUCUUGUUGGUGCUUGAGAUGCUUUUUUAAGUUAUAUGGAAAAAUGUUUAAGUGCUUUUCAGUUUUGUUUUGGUUGAGUUCUACUGUAUUUGAAUAUUAUUGUGUUUUUUCCCCUUGCAUUGUUCUUCUUUGAGUGUUUUUAAUUUUUUGUAUGUGUGUGUGUUUGAUAAUGAAGUUAUUUAAUAAAAAAAUUAAUAAGACUUCAGUUGUAGAAACACUUCAAGUUCAAUAAUCAGUAACAGUAAAUGCAGGUUGAAGACAAGUGCCACAUCACUGUAACUAAGCAUGUCAACUUUUUUCAUAGAUUAAAAUUAUGGAAAAUGGUAUCUAUACAGCCGACUGAAGUAAUCAGUUAAAGAUGCUUCUUGCAGCCAAAGGCUGCUUGUCGGGUGGCUCAAAUCACCACAGGCUCCACCUGUUCCCUCCCAGAGAGCUGAGGAGAUGUCACACCUCAGUCUCAUCUCUGCACCCCAGAAUGCCAAUGGCAUGCCAGAUGGAAAGAUCUAAAUGGGGGAAAUUGAAACCAUCUAACCAUAGGGGAAUGAUUAAAUUGGGUACUACUCAAAGAUGCCUAUACAAAUCUUAAAAUGGGGCUGGGGAUUUAGCUCAGUGGUUCCAGUGCCUGCUUCACAAGCACAAGGACUGGAGUUUGAUCCUCGGUACCAAAAAAAAAAAAAAGAAAAGAAACUGCUUGGGCUGGGGAUUUAGUUCAGUGGUUCCAGCGCCUGCCUCACAAGCACAAGGUCCUGAGUUCAAUCCCUGGUACCCCCCCCAAAAAAAUCUUAAAAUCAUAAGUAUGAAAUAAUUGUUUCAUUAUUUUUGUAGUGCAUUGCUUAAUGUAUAAUGCUUCUAUGAUAUUAUUGCAACUGGGUAAAAAUAAACAUGCAUUUUGACAUGGCCAAAAGGAUAUAAUAAAUUUAAGUAGUUAGGUUUGGGAUUUGGUUAUGAGAUUUUGUUUCUUCUUUGAAAAUGUCUCCAAUAAUGUUACUUUUUUUAUACAAUAUAAAAAGUUAGCAUGACAAAAGUGUUAGUAAAAGGAAAUUCACUAAAUAAAAAUAUGUUAAUCAAAACAUUUUAGGGGCUGGGUGUGGUGGCACUAUCAGUAGUCCCAGCUACUCAGGAGGCUGAAGCAGGAGGAUUGCUUGAGCCCAGGAAUUCAAGAGCAAUCUGGGCAUCAUAGGAUGACCUUGUCUCAAAAAAUAAAAAUUAAGGGGAGGUGGGCGCAUUUGAAGAAAAAGUUCUAUUUCAAUUACUAGAACGUUUAAACAUAAUUUUGCAAGUUCUACAAAUGAAUUUCUUACUGGACUAUUUUUUGACUCACCAAUUUCUGCACGUGGAUCUCAAUCAAUACCCAAGAAGGAAAAAGUGAUGAUGGGUAAUUUUAACUUCCAACAUAAAUUCAAAGCCUUAACCUGGAGAUUCUGAAAGGCAUUAAGACUAAGAACUGGCUUUUGCCUGUCAAGGUACUGAGGCUACCACAUCACUCCACUGGUCAAAAGCUCCCAUGAUGCUCAGGGUGGAGCCCUGGCUCCAAUAGAGUGACACUCCGGGGCCUCUCCUGACCUUCCAACUUGACCUCUCACUCACCCCAGCACUUGUAGAAACAUCAACGCACUGUCCCCUAAGUAGAAAUGAACUUGCAACAGGUGAAAGGAUCCUUUCACUCACAGCGGCAGCAAGGCCCCUGAGCCUACUACUUUAACUCCCUCACACCUGCAUGAGCAGAACUUUAUUAGGUGGGUGGGGUCUUCAGCCUUGAAAAGUGCAAGCAAUUGAUCCAGAGAGUGACCAACCUGCUGCUGAGAGAAAUGGGUUUCUAUUGAUUUGCUGGCAGAGGGGGUAAAGCCCAGUAAAUUUCCAUUGGCCAAGAGCAUGGUUCCAGAAGAUAUUUCCUCUUUUCAUGGAUUUGGACCACUGAGUGUUCAACUUCAUCCUAGAAGCCAUUGAGUUUUUGUGUGUCUGGCAUCAGCCUGUUCAAAACACCCGGCCUUGCACUUGGUGGGUUUUUAACAGUCUGUCAACUUUGGCCAGGAGCUGCUGCAUUACUCUGACAGCUGGUGUCAUCAUCUUGUGUAAACCUCCCGGACUUAUGGUGACUGAAGGACUGUCAGAGUCUGAGCUGCUGAAAAAAACAUAAAGGUGGAAUAGAAGAACUGUGGUUUACCACCUCCAACAGGAAAUAGGCCAAGUUAACCCUGAAUCACAGAAUUGGAUGAAGCAUGAUCAGCCUACUUGCAGAGCUGAGUAGAAGCUGACUCAAGAGUUAAGACUGCAAAGGAGACAGACACAAUAUGAAGAGAGAUCCUGCGAAUUUUAUCCUGUUUUAGUCACCCAUCAGACAUCUGCAGGCCCCAAUGAAGUCAGUGUCUUCAGCAAAAGUGCCCUUCAGGUCACUGGGAAGUAACCCAAGCAACUGUUAUAACCCACACGUCAGAGGUGCUAUCUGCAGAAAAGCCAGUAGGAAGCUAACAGUGUAUCUCCCAGCUGUGGGACAUCCAAAAUUAGUAAUUUUAAAAUGAUUAAGAACAAAGGAAGCAAGAGCGUUUUUUCUUGAUAACAAUUUCUCAUUUCAUGCCAACAUGCUGCAGUUAUGGUUUUAUCAGGGUCUCCUGAUGGGUAUGUUACAAAGGGCACCCAAGAGUUUAUCAUCCCAGCCUUCUGUCCCACCACUGUCCCACCAUGGUGGUCCCUAAUUAUCUCUCAGCCUUUGUUGACAGUUCUCUCCCAUUUUUAUCUUCUUAAUUCUUUCAAGACUUAGUAUUUGGGGCUGGAGAUGUAGCUCAGUGGUAGAGUGCUUGCCUAUAAUGUAUGAGGCACUUGGUUCUAGUCCCAGUAUCACCAAAAAGGAAAAAAAAAGACAAUAACUUGGUAACUUUUUCCAUGAAGACCUUUCUGACUGCCUCAGAGAUGAAUCUUAAAAAAUCACAACCCCUAUAGUCUGUUUUCAUCAUGAAAAACUUCUUUAUGAUAGCUCUUGUACUGUGAUGCAAUUAGUCUUGGUCCCUUGUCUUAUACCUCUAUAGGGAGCAAAGCCUAUGAAAUAAGCUACAUUUCUUAGUGUCCUUGCAGAUUAUGAAAGCUCAGUGUUGGUGGAAUAUUGCCCUCCUAGAAAUGGUUUUAUUUUAGGCACUCAAUAAAUAUCCAGCAAAUGAGUGGCUCAUAUCAACAACAUUGUAAUAAAUAUGUUUUGCAUUCAGCUUUGGAUCUUUUCGAUAAAAUUCAUUGUCGCACAAAUGUUAUUUCCAGGAACUGACAGAGGUUACAUUAAAAUGUGAUGUGAAUAUUAGUUAUGAAGACUAAUUCCAAAAAGGGGAACUGGGUAAUUCUACAGAGGAAAAAGAUAUUCUAAUUAUUUUAAUUAAUGGAAUAGCUCUUGACCUCGGAUAUGUUCCAGCAAUGUACAGUGUGAUCCAAGCUGAAGCUGUAUUUAGUGAGAUUUGUUAGGGAGAAAUAAGCAUAAAGUACUUUAUUAUGGUAGUUAAACUUUGCAAAAAAUGUAAUACUAAAUAUAGACCAAUAGGGCAAUGGUUAAGAAGUUAAUGGCAUUUUCUCUUUGAGAUAAUGCUAUUUAGCCAUAAAAAUCAUGUAAUAUAAGAAUAUUCCUUGGUGCAGAAAGAUGAUCAGUAUAGCAUAGAGCAAAGUAUAGAUUAGGGUGCGCUAUAUGUUAACAGUGGCUAUCUCUGAGUUUAAGGGUUUUUUCCUUGUGCCUUUCUGUGUAUCUAAAUCUUUUGCACUGAGUAUUUUUUGGUGAGUAAAGAAAAACUUUUUAUAGCAUCACCAGUCAUAUCAAUUUCCACUUUCACCUUCCCUCUUUCUCA
rnacentral:lncRNA from 1 species